GUGACCCUGCUGGAGUCUGGGGGGGACCUCCAGCCCCCUGGGGUGUCGAUGGCCCUGGUGUGCCGCGGCUCUGGAUUCAAUUUCGGGAGUUUUGGAAUGUGGUGGAUCCGGCAGAGCCCGGGGAAGGGACUGGAGUACGUAGCGAGUAUCAACAGCAAUGGAGGCACCCACUACGCGUCGUCAGUCAAGGGCCGGUCCUCGAUCUCCAGGGACAACGGGCAGAGCUCGGUGACGCUGACCAUGAACAACCUCAACGACGAGGAUUCCGGCGUUUAUUUCUGCGCCAAAGAUCAAGAUGGUUUUGCUUGGGAUGGUUCUGGGGCUGCACCUGGUGCUCGUUCUGGUUCCGUCCCACCCCAGUUGCUCUGA